rnacentral:tRNA from 1 species
GAGGAUAUAGCUCGGUGUAGAGUGCCUGCUUAGCAUGCAUGAGGUCCUGGAUUCAAUCCCCAGUACCUCCA